ACGACUUUACACUUUCUAUUUGCGUGGAAUGCAUACGCCAAAUGCCAUUUUUGCUUGCAUAUGAUACGCCAAUCCUUCCCAUUAAUUUCGGUGGAGAGCAGAUGCGUCCAAAUAACACGCAUCAUCUUCAGCGGCAGUGACGUCACUAGCGAGGCUCGUUCAGUUCACCUGAUGCGCGUACACCUUCAAACAGUUACGUCGGAUUACAUACUCCACAACAACCUGUAAUCCAGCAGAUCUUUAAAGAAGCCAUCUCUUGUAAAAUCUCUCUCUCUCUCUCUCUCUCUCGCUCUGCUAGAAUUAACAGGGAACUUCAACUCCACGCUCCCAAUGCUGAUAUUGAAGAAGCUGUCAAGGGGGCUGAACAAGUCCUUCAAAGGAUCAACCCUUCACAGGAAGGCCUGUCAUGAGAUUUGAAUUUGACCAUCUUGUGCAUUUAUGAAGAAGACCAAAAGCUGCAAAGGCAAACACUUCCAAUGGCAGAAACUGAGAGUUUGCAUGAUGGCAUUUUCUCAGACGCUGAAUCUGAUGUGUACAGAUGAACUCAGGAGCCUACUAGAGUUGGCAAGGAACUUGUGCUUGAACUGAAGACCAGAAACGCAAAGAAAAUCAGUCAAACCAGUCCUAAAGAAAUGAGGAAUGAACAUGGACUUCUUGUGCCCCAAAAGAAAAGACAGAAAGCUCCUAAAAUGAGCAAAUAAGCUGUGCAUCAUCUCUGUGAUUUGGGAAGGAAAUGACUGAAUAUGAUGAAGCCAAUUGAUGAAGAUAUCAAUUGAAUGGCCACCGAGUGCAUCACUGCUACCUGAACCCAUCAGUUAUCUGCUGUGAAGACUGCAUUCACAAUCCGCUCUACUGCGACAGCUCAGAUGUUACGGCCUGUAAAAGUAAACAUCACAGCUAAACAACGAGAGCUAGUUGUGGUGGGAUUCUAUUGGCCAAUAUCCCCAACAAGAAUCAAUGACAUCUAGACCAGGUGGAGUGUGAGGAGGACCGUCAGAGACUCCAGCCAGCCGAGCCAUGGAUUGCUCUCACUGUUACCAUCAGGCAUGCGUUAUCACAGAACCUACACCAGCAGACAGUGAGACAAGUUCCUUUCACAGGCAAUCAGACUGAACUGAACUCAUACCAGUAAAACCAUACACACCCCACCAACCUCAUAUGCCCUGCACUCUUAUCAGUUAUGCUGACUGGACUCAAUAUUAUUAUGCACCCUGACAUUCUGUUUGCACUAAUUCAUACCGUGCUUUACUGCAGAGAUGUAUGUGUACUGUGAUUAUUAUUGUUUUCAAUUCAUGCUCUUUGUAUAGCAUAAUUUUUAACAUAUAUUGUUCUCUACCUGAAUUGAGUCCCUUAUAUAUGUGUGUUGCAUAUAUAUAUAUAUAUAUAUUCAGAAUUUGUAUUUCAUAUAUAUUCAUGAAUUAAUUCAUUUGUCAUCCAUACUGUCACGCUGCAGUCUGCACCCAAGACUUUCAUCACCUGUAUACUUGUGUUCAUUGUAUUGUGACAAUAAAGAUAUUUGAUUUAAAUUA